rnacentral:rRNA from 1 species
UACGUAGGGCGCGAGCGUUGUCCGGAAUUAUUGGGCGUAAAGGGUGCGUAGAUGGCCUGAUAAGUUAGCAGUGGGAAAUCGAGGCUCAACCUCGUGGAAGCUGGUAAUACUGUCAGGCUCGAGUGCAGGAGAGGUUAACGGAACUCCAUGUGGAGCGGUAAAAUGUGUAGAUAUAUGGAAGAACACCAAUAACGGCGAAGGCAGUUAACUAUUCUGUUACUGACAUUGAGGCACGAAAGCGUGGGGAGCAAAACGG